GUGCCAGCAGCCGCGGUAAUACGGAGGAUCCGAGCGUUAUCCGGAUUUAUUGGGUUUAAAGGGUGCGUAGGCGGCUUAUUAAGUCAGGGGUGAAAUACGGCAGCUCAACUGUCGCAGUGCCUUUGAUACUGAUAAGCUUGAAUGUGGUUGAAGAUGGCGGAAUGAGACAAGUAGCGGUGAAAUGCAUAGAUAUGUCUCAGAACUCCGAUUGCGAAGGCAGCUAUCUAAGCCAUUAUUGACGCUGAUGCACGAAAGCGUGGGGAUCAAACAGGAUUAGAUACCCGGGUAGUCC
rnacentral:rRNA from 1 species